GAUUUCUUCUCUAGGCUUUGUGCAGGUAAGACGUGUCUGCCUUAUAAGAGUGUCUGCCCACUGCCAUGUCACGAGUGUGAUGGUGUGUAACGGUUCGAACAGUAGAUAAUGCUACCUGAAGCGUUUUGAACUCCCCUUGGAUUCCAUAUCCGUUUCGAGCGCGUGACUUUAGUGUAUCGCUUCUACGUGGCAGCUUCGUUCCUGUUCGACAUGGAGGGAGCCUGAGUAGCUGUGUGCGAUAACCUGGCUGCUCUCCAUAACAGCCGCACUUACAUUCCGGUCUUGCCGUGGUCAGUCCCGUGACUCCCCUCACCAGGUAUCGUAUUUUAGAACAGUGCAGUGUAUACAACAAGGGAGAGGGUCGGGUCAUGCCGGUCACUCCCUAACAUGAGGCAAAAAGUCUCCUGUUCCAACCAGGAGAUGAACACUUCCCGCCACAAGUCUGGCACGGUGGCACUGGCGUCCCAACAUCUUUACACUACCAACUUGGUGCAGCCACAACAGUUUCACCUGAGGUAACUUCUCGGCUUAGUCCGACCUGUACCUGCCCACUCGUCUUGAGAAGCCCCGGCAUCCUGUUCCUCACCUGUGUCCAUGAUGGUAACCGUCCAUCUCCAGGUCUGCCUUUUCAGAAGAGGACGCAGACCGCCGAGGCGUGCGGUUCGUCACAGGUCCUGCCACUACUGAAAGAAGAACCAAACCAGGGUGUCCUGACAUCCCCCGGCCUGCGGCAGGAAAGGUCUUCGUGCACUGGAUUCGUCAACUAUCUCGCUGCACCUUCCUCACGGAGGAAUUGGACCCUGCCUCGCACCAGCUGUCCUGGUAACACAUGGUGCUACCCAGGGAGGGAGGACAUUGCCUCGCUGCGGUUUCCACGGAGGAAUUGGACCGUGCUUCGCACCAGCUCCUGUCAACACGUGGUGCCAUCCAGGGAGGAAGGAACACUGCCUUGCUGCCCCUUCCACGGAAGAAUUGGACCCUGCCUGGUACCAGAUCUUUCCUGGUAAAACAUGGUACCAUCCAGGGAGGGAGGACACUGCCUCGCUGCGCCUUCCACAUAGGAAUUGGACCUUGCUUGCCUCAACACGCGGGAGGGAGGACAGACUGCCUAACUAAUUACAUGUUGCCAAUUAUUCUUGUAAUGUUUUUUCAUGUAAUGUGAAUGUACCCACAUUCUUCCUGUGUUCUGUGAUGUACCCACAUAACUGGUGUUAAGAAUUGAUAAAUUAUGAUUAAGAAAA
rnacentral:misc_RNA from 1 species